rnacentral:SRP_RNA from 1 species
GCUGGGAGCGUGGCGUCUCCUGUAAUCCGGCUACUCGGAGGCUAGCUACUGAGAAGGUUUUCCCGUUCGGGUCUGAACUUUCUUCGAAUUUUCACGUCGAUCAGGCGUCCGGGCUGAACUGGCCAUCGGCAUGGGUACCCCGGAGGAGUCCGGGGUGGUCCAGGUCAGCUAAGGAGAGGCGAACCGGGCCAGAGGGGUAACCAAACAGCCAAAAGUCUCCGUGGUUAGUAGCACUCGGAUCGCGCCAGGGAGUGGAAACUCGGUGAUCGUCCGAUCGGUGAAAAUCAACCUGUAGCUUU